rnacentral:rRNA from 1 species
GGGAACUCGGUAAAUUGCAUCCGUAACUUCGGGAGAAGGAUGACCCUGAGUAGGCGAAAGGGAGAAACCCCCGGAACAGAAAAGGGUGGCAGAAAAGAGGCCCAAGCAACUGUUUACCAAAAACACAGGUGCCUGCGAAAGCGAAAGCUGAAGUAUAGGUGCUGACGCCUGCCCGGUGCUGGAAGGUUAAGGAGAGAGGUCAGCGAAAGCGAAGCUUUGAACUGAAGCCCCAGUGAACGGCGGCCGUAACUAUAACGGUCCUAAGGUAGCGAAAUUCCUUGUCGGGUAAGUUCCGACCCGCAUGAAAGGCGUAAUGAUUUGGGCACUGUCUCAACGAGGGGCCCGGUGAAAUUGAAAUACCUGUGAAGAUGCAGGUUACCCGCGACUGGACAGAAAGACCCCAUGGAGCUUCACUGCAGCUUGAGAUUGAAUCCCGGUGACAUAUGCACAGGAUAGGUGGGAGGCUAAGAAGUAAUGCCUUUGGGUGUUACAGAGCCGAUGUUGGGAUACCACCCUUAUGUUGCUGAGAUUCUAACACGGAGACUAACAACCUCGUGGACCAUCUCAGGCAGGCGGUUUGACUGGGGCGGUCGCCUCCUAAAAUGUAACGGAGGCGCCCAAAGGUUCCCUCAGGCCGGACAGAAACCGGCCGAAGAGUGCAAAGGCAGAAGGGAGCUUGACAGCGAGACAGACAAGUCGAGCAGAGACGAAAGUCGGGCUUAGUGAUCCGGUGGUACUGAGUGGAAAGGCCAUCGCUCAACGGAUAAAAGCUACCCUGGGGAUAACAGGCUAAUCUCUCCCAAGAGUUCAUAUCGACGGGGAGGUUUGGCACCUCGAUGUCGGCUCAUCACAUCCUGGAGCUGGAGUAGGUUCCAAGGGUUGGGCUGUUCGCCCAUUAAAGUGGUACGCGAGCUGGGUUCAAAACGUCGUGAGACAGUUUGGUUCAUAUCCAUCGCGGGCGCAAGAAGUUUGAGGGAGGCUGCUCCUAGUACGAGAGGACCGGAGUGGACGGAUCAACGGUGUACCAGUUGUCACGCCAGUGGCACGGCUGGAAAGCCGCAUCCGGAAAGGAUAAACGCUGAAAGCAUCUAAGCGUGAAGCCCGUCCCGAGAUGAGACUUCUCAUCAGCAAUGAGUAAGACCCCUUAAAGACGAUGAGGUUGAUAGGCUGUGAGUGGAAGUGGCGCAAGUCAUGGAGCGACGCAGUACUAAUAGGUCGAGGUCUUACC